rfam:Pelecanus crispus contig120093, whole genome shotgun sequence.
AGGACAAAAGACUUAGUCCUAACCUUGCAGUUAAUUCUUGCUAAAUAUAUACAUGCAAGUAUCCGCACGCCAGUGUAAAUGCCCUCGGCCCCUAGUCCAAGGAUCAGAGGAGCGGGUAUCAGGCACACCCAUAAUAGUAGCCCAAGACACCUUGCUUAGCCACACCCUCACGGGUACUCAGCAGUAAUUAACAUUAAGCAAUAAGUGUAAACUUGACUUAGUUAUAGCAACAUUCUAAGGGUUGGUAAAUCUUGUGCCAGCCACCGCGGUCACACAAGAGACCCAAAUUAACUGUAACACGGCGUAAAGAGUGGCACCAUGUUAUCUCAGUAACUAGGGUCAAAGUGUAACUGAGCUGUCAUAAGCUUAAGAUCCACCUAAGGCCACCCUAAACAUGAUCCUAGCUCUUACGAUCAAUUAAAUGCCACGAAAGCUAGGGCACAAACUGGGAUUAGAUACCCCACUAUGCCUAGCCCUAAAUCUUGAUACUUCCACCACUAAAGUAUCCGCCUGAGAACUACGAGCACAAACGCUUAAAACUCUAAGGACUUGGCGGUGCUCCAAACCCACCUAGAGGAGCCUGUCCUGUAAUCGAUAACCCACGAUAUACCUGACCACUUCUUGCCAACGCAGCCUACAUACCGCCGUCGCCAGCUCACCUCCCCUGAGAGAGCCACAGUGAGCAUAAUAGCCCACCACGCUAACAAGACAGGUCAAGGUAUAGCUUAUGAAGUGGAAGAGAUGGGCUACAUUUUCUAAAGUAGAAAACCCUACGAAAGAGGGCAUGAAACUGCCCCCGGAAGGCGGAUUUAGCAGUAAAGGAGGAUAAUAAAGCCCCCUUUAAGCUGGCUCUGGAGCACGUACAUACCGCCCGUCACCCUCCUCACAAGCUAUAAAUAAGCAUAACUAAUACGCACAGCAGCUGAAGACGAGGUAAGUCGUAACAAGGUAAGUGUACCGGAAGGUGCACUUAGCAUACCAAGACG